rnacentral:misc_RNA from 1 species
GUAUUGAUUUAUAGGCACUAGGCCAUACAAAGACAUUCUAUAACAUUCGUUUGGGGUAUGUAGAAUCAUAGACCUAGAAAUUCAAAGAAAGCUGGCCUCGUAUUAGGAGGGCAACAGCAGUCUCUGCAUCCGUCUUUCGACGAGAGUUAUCUAGGCCUACAAUGAGUGCACAGGGAGAGAGAUAAAGGUGAUGGGUGUGCACGUACUCCUGAGAGUCAGCUACAACCACAUCAGAUUUAUUCAAUAAUGAUCCUUCCGCAGGUUCACCUACGGAAA